rnacentral:rRNA from 1 species
CCUACGGGAGGCAGCAGUGGGGAAUAUUGCACAAUGGGGGAAACCCUGAUGCAGCGACGCCGCGUGAGCGAUGACGUAUUUCGGUAUGUAAAGCUCUAUCAGCAGGGAAGAAAAUGACGGUACCUGACUAAGAAGCCCCGGCUAACUACGUGCCAGCAGCCGCGGUAAUACGUAGGGGGCAAGCGUUAUCCGGAUUUACUGGGUGUAAAGGGAGCGUAGACGGUACUGCAAGCCAGAUGUGAAAGCCCGGGGCUCAACCCCGGGACUGCAUUUGGAACUGUAAGGCUAGAGUGUAGGAGAGGCAGGCGGAAUGCAUAGUGUAGCGGUGAAAUGCGUAGAUAUUAGGAGGAACACCAGUGGCGAAGGCGGCCUGCUGGGCGAUGACUGACGUUGAGGCUCGAAAGCGUGGGGAGCAAACAGGAUUAGAUACCCCUGUAGUC